AGAGAGAGAGAGAGAGAGAGAGAGAGAGCUAGAGCUGUAUGUGAAGAUGAAAUC
rnacentral:sRNA from 1 species